GGGUGCCCCCUCUGAUCCCCCCCGGGCUGGACAAGAAGGCGGCGAAGAAGAUGAAGAAGAGGAUGAAGAAGGCUCAAAAGAGGCACAAGCACUCUUUGUCUUCCUCCUCUUCCUCCUCCUCCUCCUCCAGCAGCGACUCCGACUGAUGGCGCUGCCACCCAUGUCCUGGGGCCACCUGGGGGCCACCCGUGUCCUCCUGUGACCCCCCCACAUGCUGUGACCACCUGUGGAACCGUCCAUGAGCACCUCCUGGAGUCCCAGGACCACCCAAGACCACCCGUGACCACCUGGAACCCACGACCACCUGGGACCAUCCGUGACCACCCCAUGUCCAUGUAGGAUCUCCUGAAGUCACUCAUGACCACCCCAUAUCUGCGACCUCCUGGGACCCCCCCCCAUGACCCUCACGACCACCUGGAACCGUCUGGAACCACUCAUGAUGAACAUCACCGUGUGACCCGUGAUGAUCCACGACCACCAGGAACUGUCUGGGACCACCCCAACCACCCCAUAUCCAUGUAGGACCUCCUGGGACCACCCCAUAUCCACCACUGACCACCUUGGAACCCCCCCGUGCCCAUGGGGUGUCCCCAUGUUCCUUCACCCCACGGGCCGUGUGGGUGCUGAGGGGAUGUUUUGGGUUCAGUGGGUGUCAGCGUAUUAUGGGGUGAUCCCAUUGGGUUCUGUAGGGUCCCAUUGGGUUCUGUAAUGGUUCUGCAGUGCUGUGGGUCUGGUGGAUUCCGUGGUGUCACACCUGCCGGGGUUGCUGCUGCCGCCUCCCAAUAAAGCCCUCAGACCCCCCCA